AAUAAACCUAAAACUAAGGGAGAAAAACGCCCUAAUAUGUGUCAUAAAUGACACUUAUCAAGAACCAUUGACAAUAACAGAGAAGGAAACCGUGCUAACACAGUUCAUAAUAGUUUUCACCAUCAAAGUUGGAAGGCCAAACUUAACUAAAACUUUCUCAAGAAAGUCCCAUUUGAUUCUAUCGUAGGCCUUACUCAUGUCUGUUUUAAUUGCUAGUUUCCCUCUAACACCCUUCUUUGUUUUCCUAAUGUUUUCCAGUAACUCGUGAGCAAGUUAGUGAUACAUUUUGAAAUUCACCAACUAAGCCAUUGAUCACAUUUCGAAGCCAGGAAUAAAGGCAUUUUGAAAUUCACCAACUAAGCCAUUGAUCACAUUUCGAAGCCUGUUAGUGAUACAUUUUGCUAUGAUUUUAUACACAACAUUGCAAAGCCUAAUUGGCCGUAACUUGUUCAUAGAGUCGGGGUUAUCACAUUUAGGAAUCAAGGCUAUGUUCGUGCUGUUCAAUUCUCUUAAGAUGUUACCUGAGUUAAGGGAGGAUAACGCUGCAUCUGUUAUAUCGUCCUGCAACCAACUCCAAUUUUUUUGAUAAAACCCAGUAGGAACACCGUCCGGACCAGGAGCCUUCCAUGGCUUCAUAGAGAAAAGUGCAUUCCGAAUCUCUCUUCUAGUGUAUGGCUGAGCAAGCCUAUCCUUUUGAUCUUCGGUCAGCGAUUUAGAUAACCCCCGUAUUCCUUGAUCAAUUUAUGAAUUUCUUGAGUCGUCAGCAGCCGGACUGUUGCAUUCAUAAAUCUCCUUGAAAUAAGAGGUAGCUACUUGUGCAAUUUCUUCUUCAGAGGUAAGCCAUUCCCCCUGAUCAUUAACUAUUGCCGUCAAUUUAUUCCUAGCUCUUCUCCCUUUUACAAAAUUGAAAAAAUACCUUGUGCAAGCAUCACCUGCCUCAUUCCAAUUUAUUUUGGCUCUUUGUCUCCAAUAGAUGGCCAUAUUUUGAGAGUACUCUUCCAAAUUCUUGCUUACUCGUCUAAAUUCAGAAUCAUCUCCUUCACUUUCAAUUAGGAGCUAUGCUUCAAGAAUAUCCUUCUCUAAUUUAUCCCAUUCACCAUUCCACUCCUCCCUCUUAUUUAGAGUCCAUUUUUUUUAUUUCAUUUUUUGCCUUCUGGGUUUUUUUAACGAGCCUAAACAUGGGCGAACCAUUUAGAUUUUCGUUAUGUUAAUUUGGUAUUUAUGAAGCAAUUUUUUCUCUUUGGUAAUACUCGUAUAAAGUUCAUUGGGCAACGAUGCAUAAAUUGUGUUGCAAUUAAUUGUUAGGUGUCAUCAUGUUGAUGCAGUGACCUCCUAUGUGAGUGUAAUCACAAACAAAGCACUAUAAUUGUCUAACGAUUUAUUGGUCCUCAUAGGAUUAUCCUUUGUAAGAAUAGUUAAGUUGUAUUAUGAUUGGUCUUUUUCUAUAUUUGGUUGCCAUGUCAGUAGGAGUUAUGAUGAUAAUGUUUCACUUAACAAUGGUUAUGCCCAGAUGUAAUUAUGAUCCUGAGGUGUGAUAGAUGCUUACUGCUUCAUAAGUGUGCUAUGAGGUGAGAUAGUGGUAAGAAGUUGGUUAAAAGGGAGGAGGGAGCCUUUGCCCUUGUUUAGUUAAAAAUUAUGAUUAAGGUCACUUUUUCAGUUCUUAAUUGCAGUACUAAUGAGGCUAAGCCAAUAAAGUCAUAUAGAAGCCCUCAUUAGUGCAAUCCAUAACAGUACUAUGGCCAUCUUCUUAUAAAGCUGAUUAGUGCAAUCCAUGUUUUUUUUUAAUACAGAGUAUACAUGCUUUUAAAUGACAACCUGAUGCUAACCCAUAUCAUUUGCAAAUCUUUGUGUUGGAGAAUUUGAGAUCUAUGCAUUUUAUUCUUUGAUUUGAUUCUACAUGGUCUUCUAUCUUACUGAAAAUGUUAAGGUUUAAGAUUGAUCUUUCAUGUUAAUUUGUUGCUUCUGUUGUUUCUUGCAUUUUGUUGUUUCGAAUUAUGAAUUCAAUUGUUUGUUUGUUCAUUUAGUUACUGCUGUAGGAAGUUUCACCUUGUUACAUGAAGCUGUUUUUGUUAGGUACACCAUACAUAGACCACGAUUUGGUGACCAUCUUGACGCAAUCAAGUUCAUCUGUAAGGACUUAUGGCUUCUUCAAGAAAUAGAUAGACAAUCUGAAGAAAAAUCAUAGAGUUACAUUUAUGCUGCAACAUAAUCGAUUCCGUUGGCUAUUGUUUCGAUGUUUUUUGUGUCACUUCGGAGAGUUACGACUCAAAGACUUAAUUCGCCAAGGUCGCCUGUACCUACAAAACAAACGGAGCUCCGAAUGGCCAGAGGUCCGCCUCCAAAGAUUAAGUUAAUAAGAAAUCGGAGUAAAACGUGCGGAAAGUAAGGUAUCUGCUCGGAUUCCAAGCUUAGGUGUUCUCUGUUUUAUAGAGCAAUAAAGGCCUGAAUGAUUAAGACCUAAAGUUCGAGGUGUCAAAUGACUGUCCCAAUAAUUGGGGGAACCUCCCUUUUUAUAGGUUCUUAGGAAAACGUGCCCUACCCUAGGGUUUGAUGACCUAGGCAUUAGGGCAGCGCCAUUUUGCGGCGCCCUUGAAGGCCGCCAUUUCCAAAGGGGAAAUAUCUGAGUGACACGUGUCACGCAUCUCGAGGGUCCAUUUGGACGCCUCCUAGAGGGACACGUGUCGCUCUCUCAUUGGUCCACUUAGGGGUAUUAAUUACCCCAAAACUUUUGUCCCUUCACAGGAGUCACGUGGCAUGCUACGUGGCGCCUGUGACAAGUGUCGGCCUUUGAUUGGCCAAGAAGUUACUUUUUACUGUUCACUUGAAUCUAGGGCUUUAUCCCAGACCUUUUACCCCUCCUUUAAAUAGGAGGGUUGACCUCCCUUGGAUUCACACUUGUGUGAAUCUUUGGGAGAAUCUUGAUUCUUUGACUUUCAAAGAAUUUGACUUAUACAGCAUCCAACACUAGGCCAGCUCGUCCGCCUGUUCUAGCAAACGUUCCAGACUAAGCGCACCUCUAAUACCUUCUUCUAAGGUAAUAGCCUGAUCUUUUCUUUUACUUAAUUUUUUGUAUUUUUCUUUUUCAAAAAUUGUUUCCCAAACGCACGUGGCACAGCUUAGAUUAGCGAUCAACCGGUAACCGGGGACGGCUGAAUCUAGAACUAGGAGUGCCGAAUGCUCAUUCGAGAACUACCCUUUGAGUGCAUCUCCAAAUCCGACAUUGUCUGACCCCUAUAGGACACGAUGGCUAGAACAAAGCAAACGACUCGAAGAUAUAUGACGCAUGGUUCUUGUUACCAUUCGGAAAGCAAGACGAUCUACUAAGAUGGCUCCAUUAGGGCGCCUGUCUCCGAGGUUAGCAAAGACCCUCCAGGAAAUCCUCGUACCCAUUGUGACUCAUUUUUAGGAGAGUCAGAUGAUGAACAAACCCCUAACCCAAGUAAAUCGGUGACGGAUGCUGAGAUAGGGGAGGACACUGCUGGCACCAGCCGGCAGGCCCCCAGAGGAAAGUUCUGAUGAUGUCAUCAUCUUCUGACAGCUUCUCCGUCGGCUCAGAGGAGGCGCAGUCCAACGUUGAAACUGCCCGAGAAUCCCUCUCCGUAGAGAAGGGAGAGGGCUGGGAAGAGUCGUUUGCUUCACGGCGACAGGAACGUGCUCCUUAUUACUUGCUCGUUGCCAAAAGCAGGCGGGACAAGAUGACUGAAAACUUCAAAAAGUUUAUUUCCACUCUUGUCAUGGAACAUGGCUAUCUACUGUCCAUGCCGGAUGCUGGGAACACGGUCACCUGGCCACAAAUGGCCAGCUAUGGUGACUAGUGCUUCGAAUGCUAUGAGGCGUCCAUCUAGGUAGGACUCCGCUUCCCUCUUCAUCCGACAAUGUAGAAGAUUUAAGACGAAUACAAACUGGAUAUCCGACAACUAGCCCCCAAUUCUUGGGUUAACAUACUGGGCUACGUUGCCGCCUGAGAGAUGCUGGAGGUGGAGCCCAGCUUCAAGGCGUUUGCUCAUAUGCACUACCUGAGCAAGACUCCGCACGCAAGUGGGACAAGCUGGUUCACUCUCACCAGCCACAAACGUUAUAUGAUGGCUUUGGGGAAGUAGAACAAAUGGAAGGACUGAAGGUCCAAGUUUUACAACGUCUCUUCCUUAGACUUCUUAAGGAACAAGCGGUACAACCGCUGGAACGACGAGUCGCCCCACCUGGCUCGGAAGAAAGAAAGACCUGCCGCCUGUACCUAGGCGGGCGCAGGAGGAGAUUUUUUAUCGAGGCCUGUUUUAUAUGGUCGUCCGAUUAAACAAGGAGAUGGGGGUCAAGGAGGUAACCCCCUAAAGUUACAUUCCCCGAUUCGAGUGGCUCUCGGACGGGACAUAUUUGUCCGCUUUUGGCCUUAGUAAUGAGAAGCCGAGAGGUAGCUGGCCGCUUGAAUUUACUUGCUUUGCUACCCAUAUUGAUUUUUAAAUGUCUAAGUUUCUAACUCUUGUUGUUUUGUGCAGACAUAGCAAUGUCAAAACUUUUUGGUUACAACUAUCUCUACUGCCUUCUAUCAUUUGAACCUCAAACGAAGUGAAGAGCAACCGCCAGGUGGCACUCCUUAGGGUGGCUCAUCAAGGCCUAUUCCCACCCUACAGCCGGAUCCCAAGCUAGGGAAGCAGACGACUGGCGAUAUCUCUAAGAGCCAUAAAAACACAUCACCCACAAGCUGAAGAAGGGAAUGGGCGCCUCCUCCCCCAUCCAUACUCCAUCCAAGCCGGACACUCAGCAAAAAGCGUCGAAGAGUGGCAAGCCACUCAAUAUUGCUUUCAACUCAGCAGACAACAUCGAUUGUAACACCCCAAUAAUUCUCUCUUAAAAACAUGUGAAUACCCUGAACAAAUCCAAGAGAAUUAUUGGCGUGCUACCGCUACGUGUUCAAACAUUAAGGCUUUUUCAGAAAAUAGCAGCAGAAAAAUUAAAAAAAAUAUAUAAGUUCCAAAACUAAUAACCAAAACCAAAUUAAAUCUUACAACUUGGAACCCUUAAGGCCCUUAUUCAAAACUGAAACCAAUAGAAGUAGUAUGAAAGCAAAGUUGAGUUUAAAUAACUUUAAAUGUAAAUAAGAAAAGUAACCAACUCUCCACUCAAGAUCCCACCAUCUAGAAACAUAUGCUGCAUGUGUAAGAACCUGUGGUUAAUCUGCUCCUCAAUAUUAUAAGUGUAAAAAUUGGAUCGUCACAGGGUCAUUGAAAGACGAAUGCCAUGACCAAAGAAAGACACACACAAAAGCACGCAAUCGGCAAAGCUAAGUACAUACAAGUUGCGAAACAAAUUAAGAAAACACCUAACAUGCUACUAAUAAUCAAGCAUAAGCGUCAUUAAAUACAGACUCAACACAUGACUCAAUUAUCAAAUUUAUUAAGACCUCACUA